GCUUUCAGUUUAACGGCGAGUGAAGCGGUAAAAGCUCAAAUUUGAAAUCUGGCUCUUUCAGAGUCCGAGUUGUAAUUUGUAGAAGAUGCUUCGGGUGUGGUUCCGGUCUAAGUUCCUUGGAACAGGACGUCAUAGAGGGUGAGAAUCCCGUAUGUGACUGGAUACCUAUGCUCAUGUGAAGCUCUUUCGACGAGUCGAGUUGUUUGGGAAUGCAGCUCAAAAUGGGUGGUAUAUUUCAUCUAAAGCUAAAUAUUGGCCAGAGACCGAUAGCGCACAAGUAGAGUGAUCGAAAGAUGAAAAGCACUUUGGAAAGAGAGUUAAACAGUACGUGAAAUUGUUGAAAGGGAAGCGCUUGCAAUCAGACUUGCACUUGGUGUUCAUCAGGGUUUCGUGCCCUGUGUACUUCAUCAAGUUCAGGCCAGCAUCAGUUUGAGUGGUUAGAUAAAGGCUUGGAGAACGUGGCCCUCUUCGGGGGGUGUUAUAGCUCCAGGUGCAAUGUAGCCUACUUGGACUGAGGACCGCGCUUCGGCUAGGAUGCUGGCGUAAUGGUUGUAAGCGACCCGUCUUGA
rnacentral:rRNA from 1 species